CCUACGGGGGGCAGCAGUGGGGAAUAUUGCACAAUGGGGGAAACCCUGAUGCAGCGACGCCGCGUGAGUGAAGAAGUAAUUCGUUACGUAAAGCUCUAUCAGCAGGGAAGAGAAUGACGGUACCUGAGUAAGAAGCCCCGGCUAACUACGUGCCAGCAGCCGCGGUAAUACGUAGGGGGCAAGCGUUAUCCGGAUUUACUGGGUGUAAAGGGAGCGUAGACGGCAGAGAAAGUCUGAAGUGAAAGCCCGCGGCUCAACCGCGGAACUGCUUUGGAAACUUUUCGGCUAGAGUACCGGAGAGGUAA
rnacentral:rRNA from 1 species